rnacentral:rRNA from 1 species
GCAGUCGAACGGCAGCGCGGGAGCAAUCCUGGCGGCGAGUGGCGAACGGGUGAGUAAUACAUCGGAACGUGCCCAAUCGUGGGGGAUAACGCAGCGAAGCUGUGCUAAUACCGCAUACGAUCUACGGAUGAANGCAGGGGAUCGCAAGACCUUGCGCGAAUGGAGCGGCCGAUGGCAGAUUAGGUAGUUGGUGAGGUAAAGGCUCACCAAGCCUUCGAUCUGUAGCUGGUCUNAGAGGACGACCAGCCACACUGGGACUGAGACACGGCCCAGACUCCUACGGGAGGCAGCAGUGGGGAAUUUUGGACAAUGGAGCGCAGCCUGAUCCAGCCAUGCCGCGUGCAGGAUGAAGGCCUUCGGGUUGUAAACUGCUUUUGUACGGAACGAAACGGCCUUUUCUAAUAAGAGGGCUAAUGACGGUACCGUAAGAAUAAGCACCGGCUAACUACGUGCCAGCAGCCGCGGUAAUACGUAGGGUGCAAGCGUUAAUCGGAAUUACUGGGCGUAAAGCGUGCGCACGCGGUAAUGUAAGACAGUUGUGAAAUCCCCGGUCUCAACCUGGGAACUGCAUCUGUGACUGCAUUGCU